CCUACGGGUGGCAGCAGUCGAGAAUCAUUCACAAUGGGGGAGACCCUGAUGGUGCGACGCCGCGUGGGGGAAUGAAGGUCUUCGGAUUGUAAACCCCUGUCAUGUGGGAGCCAAUUAAAAAGAUAGUACCACAAGAGGAAGAGCCGGCUAACUCUGUGCCAGCAGCCGCGGUACUACAGAGGUCUCAAGCGUUGUUCGGAGUCACUGGGCGUAAAGCGUGCGUAGGCUGUUUCGUAAGUCGUGUGUGAAAGGCGCGGGCUCAACCCGCGGACGGCACAUGAUACUGCGAGACUAGAGUAAUGGAGGGGGAACCGGAAUUCUCGGUGUAGCAGUGAAAUGCGUAGAUAUCGAGAGGAACACUCGUGGCGAAGGCGGGUUCCUGGACAUUAACUGACGCUGAGGCACGAAGGCCAGGGGAGCGAAAGGGAUUAGAUACCCUAGUAGUC
rnacentral:rRNA from 1 species